rnacentral:rRNA from 1 species
CCUACGGGAGGCAGCAGUAGGGAAUCUUCCACAAUGGGCGAAAGCCUGAUGGAGCGACGCCGCGUGGGUGAAGAAGGUCUUCGGAUCGUAAAACCCUGUUGGUAGAGAAGAAAGUGCGGGAGAGUAACUGUUCACGCUUUGACGGUAUCUAACCAGAAAGCAACGGCUAACUACGUGCCAGCAGCCGCGGUAAUACGGAGGUGGCGAGCGUUAUUCGGAUUUAUUGGGCGUAAAGGGAACGCAGGCGGUCUUUUAAGUCUGAUGUGAAAGCCUUCGGCUUAACCGGGGUAGUGCAUUGGAAACUGGGAGACUUGAGUGCGGAAGAGGAGAGUGGAACUCCAUGUGUAGGAGUGAAAUGCGUAGAUAUAUGGAAGAACACCAGUGGCGAAGGCGACUCUCUGGUCUGUAACUGACGCUGAGGUUCGAAAGCGUGGGUAGCAAACAGGAUUAGAUACCCCUGUAGUC